AUAAGACAACCAAAGUCCUCGUGAAAUAAAAUAAUUUGCCUGAAAUCAUACAGCUGGUUUUUUGUCAUAUUUAUUUUACCCAUAAGGAUCACCUCCAAUCAUCAGUGUCAGAAUAAAUGCAAUAAAAAUGGUGAAGAAUAGGGGUGUAUGUGACCAUCUUAAUGCAGAUAAAGACAA